rnacentral:rRNA from 1 species
UAAGGAAUAUUGGACAAUGGAGGCAACUCUGAUCCAGCCAUGCCGCGUGAAGGAAUAAGGCCCUAUGGGUUGUAAACUUCUUUUAGAUGGGACAAAACCCCUUUACGUGUAAAGGGUUGAUGGUACUGUCAGAAUAAGCAUCGGCUAACUUCGUGCCAGCAGCCGCGGUAAUACGAAGGAUGCAAGCGUUAUCCGGAAUUAUUGGGUUUAAAGGGUGCGUAGGCGGACUAAUAAGUCAGUGGUGAAAGCCUGCAGCUUAACUGCAGAAUUGCCAUUGAUACUGUUAGUCUUGAGUACAGUUGAGGUAGGCGGAAUGUGUCAUGUAGCGGUGAAAUGCUUAGAUAUGACACAGAACACCGAUUGCGAAGGCAGCUUGCUAAGCUGUAACUGACGCUGAGGCACGAAAGCGUGGGGAGCAAACA